CACGCUCCUACGAACAUGGGGCCAAGUCAAAAAUAAAUAUUAAAAUAAUAUUCAACGUGCAAAUAAAAAAAAAAAGUUAAUACGACUGGGAGGAGGACCGCUCCCCCGCCCUUCACCACUUCGGAGGAGCUGGCUCUCGCCAAUAACGAAGGUCGGCCGAUGAUGGUAGGAGUGGAAGAGGGGGUGUCCUCUGACCCCACUGCCGUGACUUCCAAGGCGUUUGUAAUGAGUAUGUAUUCAUUUAUUGGCAAUGGACAUCAAUAAUGGUCUUGCUAAUCAAAUGUGAAAUGAUUAAGUGUAAAUUAAUUGUUAUUUUUAGUUAAAGGUACAGACAUUAGUUUGGAGGGGCCGCCGACAAUCAAUCUCCAAUCCGAGGAGACUGUCGGCCUGUGACUCCAGGGCGACUAUGGAGGGGAUUUUUCUGAACAAUUCUCACAGCUAUAAUAUGAAUUUGUAGAAUAAAAAAUGCCUAUGCCUAAUUGUGUCACUGACAUAGCGGUUAUGUGUGUGUGGCUGAUGGUGGCUGCUGCUGAAGGUGGAUGCUGAUGGUGGCUGCUGCUGAAGGUGGCUGCUGAUGGUGGAUGCUGAAGGUGGAUGCUGCUGAAGGUGGAUGCUGAUGGUGGCUGCUGCUGAUGGUGGAUGCUGCUGAAGGUGG